CUGAGUGUAUCCCACAGCAGCAGUACUCAGAGGCUGAAGCAGAGCAGCAGGUUCUGUCAUCUAUCAGGCAAUAUUCUGCAGGUUACGGGCUCCCUUGUGGUCCUGCUGACUUCAAUAGGAAACCCUUAAACACAACUUCUUCAUCAGCAGCAGCCUCCCUUAUCCUGCUGGCCCUCUCAAACUGGACCUCUCUUGAGGAGG